GGAGAGGGUGUCUUCAAUGCCUUUCAGCAGUUCUACCCAGACAUCCAGCAAGAAUUGCAGUGUGGAAACAGAAAUCCUCAUCUGGUGGACUUUGAAUCAGUAGGAAUUUGCAAGUGUCAAAGACAAUUCUGUUAUGAAAAGGUCAAGAUCUGAACGGCGGGGAGAGAGAGCAUCACUCUCAGAAAUUCUGCCCCAGCAGCAGCAGAAGCCACCACCUGAUUCUCACCCACUUCAUUCUGGGCACCAGGAGCCAGGAGCAGUAGAGGCAGAAGAGAGGAGAAGAGAACCAUUACUCCUUUGAGAAAAACGGGCAUUGAAUCUUCAGGGCUGGGGACUGCAACCAACCAACGAAAAGGAAAGAAACAGAAGGAUCACAAAAGCUCUGUAAUAAAAAUUAGGGGAUUAAGGGUGAGAGGUGAAUG
rnacentral:lncRNA from 1 species